AUGUCACAUUCAGUAAAGAUUUAUGAUACAUGUAUAGGAUGUACUCAAUGUGUCCGAGCCUGUCCCACAGAUGUAUUAGAAAUGAUACCUUGGGAUGGAUGUAAAGCUAAGCAAAUAGCUUCUGCCCCAAGAACAGAGGACUGUGUUGGUUGUAAGAGGUGUGAGUCCGCUUGUCCGACAGAUUUCUUAAGUAUUCGAGUUUAUUUAUGGCAUGAAACAACUCGAAGUAUGGGUCUAGCUUAUUGA